rnacentral:rRNA from 1 species
GACGAACGCUGGCGGCGUGCUUAACACAUGCAAGUCGAACGGAAAGGCCCUGCUUUUGUUGGGUGCUCGAGUGGCGAACGGGUGAGUAACACGUGAGUAACCUGCCCUUGACUUUGGGAUAACUUCAGGAAACUGGGGCUAAUACCGGAUAGGAGCUCCUGCUGCAUGGUGGGGGUUGGAAAGUUUCGGCGGUUGGGGAUGGACUCGCGGCUUAUCAGCUUGUUGGUGGGGUAGUUGCUUACCAAGGCUUUGACGGGUAGCCGGCCUGAGAGGGUGACCGGCCACAUUGGGACUGAGAUACGGCCCAGACUCCUACGGGAGGCAGCAGUGGGGAAUAUUGCACAAUGGGCGGAAGCGUGAUGCGGCAACGCCGCGUGCGGGAUGACGGCCUUCGGGUUGUAAACCGCUUUCGCCUGUGACGAAGCGUGAGUGACGGUAAUGGGUAAAGAAGCACCGGCUAACUACGUG